rnacentral:rRNA from 1 species
UGGGGAAUCUUAGACAAUGGGCGAAAGCCUGAUCUAGCCAUGCCGCGUGAGUGAUGAAGGCCCUAGGGUCGUAAAGCUCUUUCAACUGUGAAGAUAAUGACGGUAGCAGUAGAAGAAACCCCGGCUAACUCCGUG